rnacentral:rRNA from 1 species
UCCUACGGGAGGCAGCAGUGGGGGAUAUUGCACAAUGGGGGGAACCCUGAUGCAGCGACGCCGCGUGAGUGAAGAAGUAUUUCGGUAUGUAAAGCUCUAUCAGCAGGGAAGAAGAAAGACGGUACCUGAGUAAGAAGCCCCGGCUAACUACGUGCCAGCAGCCGCGGUAAUACGUAGGGGGCAAGCGUUAUCCGGAUUUACUGGGUGUAAAGGGAGCGUAGACGGUAUGGCAAGUCUGAAGUGAAAGCCCCGGGCUCAACCUGGGAAUUGCUUUGGAAACUGUUAAACUAGAGUGCUGGAGAGGC